UAUGGCACAUGAUGAAGAUAAAUCUUAUCCUACACACUGAAAAAAUGAAAUUUGUUGACUACAAACUCCGCUUAUUAUCUGAUGCCAAC